UACGGAGGGUGCAAGCGUUGUCCGGAUUUAUUGGGUUUAAAGGGUGCGUAGGCGGCCCGUUAAGUCAGUGGUGAAAGCCUCCAGCUCAACUGGAGAACUGCCAUUGAUACUGGCGGGCUUGAGUACAGACGAGGUUGGCGGAAUUGAUUGUGUAGCGGUGAAAUGCGUAGAUAUCUGAAGGAACAUCAGUGGCGAAAGCGACUUCCUGGACCAAUACUGACGCUCAUGUGCGAAAGCGUGGGGAGCAAACAGG
rnacentral:rRNA from 1 species